rnacentral:tRNA from 1 species
GCCCCGGUAGCUCAGCUGGUUAGAGCGGCGGACUGUUAAUCCGUAGGUCCAAGGUUCAAAUCCUUGUUGGGGCG